AACUAGAACGCAGAUCGUCAUGUAAAGUCUGCGUAGUGUCACGCAAAGAUGAUCAAAUUUAUAGAAUACACAUUAAACUUAGUGUUUGUUAAAUAUUACUAAAAUAUUAGAUAGGCUUUUAAAUGUGAUUAAUAAGAAUAUAAAGAUCAAAAUCGUCAAGUUGUGAAGUGACAUACAAAUGAAAAUAAUGUUUUACAAUGAACCAUUAUGUAUUUAAAUGUGAUCACUAUCAGUUUAGUGUAGUCAUUACCGGUAAAACCCGAGUUAUUUAAAUAAAAUGUUAUUUAAAUUAAAGAAAAGGAGUGUACUGUGUAACAUAUUAAUUGUAACAUUAUUUAGUAUAAUUAUAGGAGGAGCGUAUUUAGGCAAGGUUUAUAAAUUAGAUACAAAAUAUUAUAAGGAAUAUGAUACACACGAUGUGGUAGUUAAAGGAUUUUUAGAACAGAGACAGAGUUGGAGGACGUCUAAUGUGGGGUCUUUGUUAUUUAAAUUUCAAUUUGCAAAUGACAUAAUGCAAAACAAUACACUUGGAAGAGAGAACAAAAGGUUUAUUGUUUUAAUAUGGAAAUACUGGGACUGGCUAAAGAAUCGUCACAUUUAUAGUUUUGAUAACGAACGUUUAAGGGAGCCCGUCCCACUAAAGCAGUGCAGCGUGAAAAACUGCUUUUUGACAGGAGAUGAUAAGUACUUGGAAUCAGCUGACGCUGUCGUAGUACACAUACAACACGGCGUGUUUCCUAACACUUCGAAAAGAAAUAAAAGGCAGCGGUGGAUAUUUCUCAACGACGAAUCUCCCAUCAAUGCGUUUUCAAUGGCGAAAGUUAAACCAAAGCUAGAAGACCUGAAAAAUAUUUUUAAUUGGUCCAUGACGUACAGGAUCGACGCAGAUGUACCAGUCCCCUACGGUCGCACAGUGCCUCUCCAUCAACCAAUACUUAGCGACAUCACAAUUAAGUCCCUGUCUGAAUUGGUCCCAAAUUGGCACAUUAAACGCCGUGAUAAGCUGGCUUCAAUCCUGGUGUCUAAUUGUGGGCCAUCGAAAAGACUAGAAUACUUGCACGAGUUAGAAAAUUUCCUACCAUUGGAUGUGUAUGGAAAAUGCUCUAAGGAUCAUAAAAAUAGCUGCCCCGGCCACUUCAAAGCCGACUGCAAGGUGACGGGCCAAUACUUAUUCUACCUUGUGUUUGAGAACUCUCAAUGCCGCGAGUACAUUACGGAGAAGGUAUUCAACAACGCUUAUGAAAAGGGCGCAAUUCCUGUCAUAAUGGGACCGAAAAACGAUGACUGCGCAAAAAUUCUGCCACCCAACUCAUUUUUACACGUAGAUAAAUUCAAUGGACCGAACAAUUUGGCGGAUUAUAUUACAUUUUUAAGUGAAAACGAACACAUUCUGCUCGAAUACCACCGAUGGAGGAAUGAUUUCAAAGUCGCCUACGAAAACCCCAUUGAUCGAUACAUAAAUUUUCCUUAUAUUGAAAUAAUCGCUUAUGAACCCCUGAUUAGCUUCGCAGGCUUUGAAUUAAGUCUCUAUAUAGUAUGUAGUGGAUGCCCACGAUAGGCCUUUAAAAUGGUUCGUGAGCUGCAAGUCUACCUCUGAACUUUUUAAUAGAGAUUGCAUAUUUUCAAACGUUUCAAUUGUUUGCGAUAUCAGCGCUACGGACUAAUGAAUAACUACGUACAUCAAUUUCGUUUAGUAGUACGAUGACGUCAUUAGAGUUUUCAGGGCAGUAAGUCUUAUUGAUUUUUCAUUAGAAAUAUUAGUACUAAAUCGAUUAUUAAAACCUAAACAUAACAAACAAAUAUACAGUAUUUACAAUUUUCUUCACUUACGUAGUAAUAUUAAAUAUAAUUAAAAAUUUAUAAAAUGAUAAUUAAAACAAAUUUAAAAAACUGCCACGGGGUCAGUGUACCUUUAACGCUGGCAGCAUUUCGUUGCUGAUUUUCAAUACUUAAUCGUUAAGUGAGAAAAGCACCAGCUCUGAGGUCACCGGUACUAACUACCAGGUGCUAAGUUAAAUCUUUAAUUAGUGCCUGUGCACUUGAACCCCAUGGCCCAAGAGUCUACUCCAAAGGGGAACAAAAUCGAAGUAGGAAGAAAGACUCUUAUAAUUGUGCCGUUUGAUAUUUUUAUACCGCCUGCUCUGCGGCAGUCCGAGGGAGGAAAGAUGGGGCUAACGUGUCUACACAAGUAGCAUCACAUACCAAAGCCCGUCUUAUCUUCGAAGGGAUCAAGGACGUCCGGCCGCUUGCCAUCGUCUCUAGCGAUGCCUGUUGGGUCUAAAAUGGCUGGAACAUUGACGGAGGCAAAAGCGUGGCGUUGCGAGAAUAGCGAGCUCCACUCUUUUGGCAAUGUUCAAGGCUAUUAGAAAUAAUAUUUAAAGAACCAAAAUGUUGAAAAUUCGAAAGCAGUGUUAGCCGAGUGAAAACGUGAAAGAACAAGCCUUAGAUCCAAAAAAGUCGACGGCGUCUGUCGAACAGAAAUACCUAGUGGUCUUGAAGCCAAAGAUCACUAAACAAAUACAGAAAUCAGAAGAAUUGUUACUUGGUGUGAAAAGUUAUACUUUCUAUAUGUUGAACCUGUUUUCCUACGUAACCCUUCCCAAGGACGAACUCCUAAGGAAUUGCUAAACACAUAAUGCAUGUUAGUCAAAACAAUUUUACGUGAUAAGAUAAUCCAUAAAUACAUUUUAUUUCCAGAGCUGUUAACGGCUUGAUUUGUUCUGCAGCUGUUUUCUUUACGUUCAGCAAUAAAAACUCGCUUCCUAUUACAGCCCUCAUACAUUUUAGAUAUUGCUCCACUUAUGUAAUCGUUUUUAUUACAAUACAACCAUUGUUGCGUGUAAAUUGUGGAACACAAAACACAGGGCUAUGUUAAAAUAACAUACAAUUAUAAUAACUUGGGCACUAACUCCCGACUAUUUGUAUCGAAAAAGAAGCAUGGGCCAACCAAGCAUCCGCGAAUAUACAAUGUUAAUAUAUAAAUAGCAAUUAGGUAUUUAUAUAAAAAAAAACUAAAGAAAAUUAAAAAAAAAUGUUUGCAUUGUCGUCCCCGUCGUUACCACAGAAGGACCAAAAUGACGCGUUAAAAAUAAUCUCCGGUCAAAUGAAAUAGCAGAGUCCAGUUGUGUCCGGCUGGUGACAGCUGUCAAAUAUUUAUGAAGAAGAAAUUCUAACUUUUCAAAAUUCGAAUGACUUCGGUGUUUUUUUAUGAAAUUACAAGAUGUCGCAUCAGAACAUCUCGCAGCAGGAUUUAGCAGGAGCAGAUUAUGGAACGAAAUUAGCAUGAAGAUUCAUCUAUAAAUAUCUUGGGUAACUAUAAAGGGUGCUCCAAUAACUGCCGACUCCUUAUCAGCGGACACAAAAUUAGUUUUAGAAGAAGUAACUCGAGUACUUAACUUGGAGAAAGUGUUGCCAUGCUACAAAAAUACGGUGUCAGUGAGUUGUUUGCGUGCGAUACGUCGUCAAUUGACUUUCUUUCUAUGUGUGCAUUUAACUCGCUCCAAUGCUGAAGGAAACCCGCUUGCCUUAGAUCCAAAAUGUCAACGGCCUAUGUCAGGCAUAGAAGGGUGAUCACCUACUUGACUAUUAGAUUAGCAAAAGAUCAUGAAACAGAUACCAGGCCCAGACUUAAAAAGGUCAGACAACGCCAUUGAUUAAUUAAUGAAUUAGGAUUACUUUAAACACUGACUUGGGUAUUUAAAACCCAUACAGAGAAUCUGUAAACCUAAAUUGUGAACCUGUAGUGAGUAUCACCAAAACUUGGCAAACAUCAGACAGUAAAAGGUGCUAAGUUUCCUCAUUGUGUAAUUAAUUAAUACACUUUUGCAAUACUAGUUUAUUUUUGAACUAGA